rnacentral:rRNA from 1 species
AGUGGCGGACGGGUGAGUAACACGUAGGUAACCUUUCAAGAAGCGGGGGACAACAUUUGGAAACAGAUGCUAAUACCGCAUAACAACGUUGUUCGCAUGAACAACGCUUAAAAGAUGGCUUCUCGCUAUCACUUCUGGAUGGACCUGCGGUGCAUUAGCUUGUUGGUGGGGUAACGGCCUACCAAGGCGAUGAUGCAUAGCCGAGUUGAGAGACUGAUCGGCCACAAUGGGACUGAGACACGGCCCAUACUCCUACGGGAGGCAGCAGUAGGGAAUCUUCCACAAUGGGCGCAAGCCUGAUGGAGCAACACCGCGUGAGUGAAGAAGGGUUUCGGCUCGUAAAGCUCUGUUGUUAAAGAAGAACACGUAUGAGAGUAACUGUUCAUACGUUGACGGUAUUUAACCAGAAAGUCACGGCUAACUACGUGCCAGCAGCCGCGGUAAUACGUAGGUGGCAAGCGUUAUCCGGAUUUAUUGGGCGUAAAGAGAGUGCAGGCGGUUUUCUAAGUCUGAUGUGAAAGCCUUCGGCUUAACCGGAGAAGUGCAUCGGAAACUGGAUAACUUGAGUGCAGAAGAGGGUAGUGGAACUCCAUGUGUAGCGGUGGAAUGCGUAGAUAUAUGGAAGAACACCAGUGGCGAAGGCGGCUACCUGGUCUGCAACUGACGCUGAGACUCGAAAGCAUGGGUAGCGAACAGGAUUAGAUACCCUGGUAGUCCAUGCCGUAAACGAUGAGUGCUAGGUGUUGGAGGGUUUCCGCCCUUCAGUGCUGGA